rnacentral:rRNA from 1 species
CCUACGGGGUGCAGCAGUGGGGAAUAUUGCACAAUGGGCGCAAGCCUGAUGCAGCCAUGCCGCGUGUAUGAAGAAGGCCUUCGGGUUGUAAAGUACUUUCAGCGGGGAGGAAGGUGUUGUGGUUAAUAACCACAGCAAUUGACGUUACCCGCAGAAGAAGCACCGGCUAACUCCGUGCCAGCAGCCGCGGUAAUACGGAGGGUGCAAGCGUUAAUCGGAAUUACUGGGCGCAAUCGCACGCAGGCGGUCUGUCAAGUCGGAUGUGAAAUCCCCGGGCUCAACCUGGGAACUGCAUUCAAAACUGGCAGGCUAGAGUCUUGUAGAGGGGGGUAGAAUUCCAGGUGUAGCGGCGAAAUGCGUAGAGAUCUGGAGGAAUACCGGUGGCGAAGGCGGCCCCCUGGACGAAGACUGACGCUCAGGUGCGAAAGCGUGGGGCGCAAACAGGAUUAGAUACCCGGGUAGUC